rnacentral:rRNA from 1 species
GACGAACGCUGGCGGCGUGCUUAACACAUGCAAGUCGAACGGAAAGGCCUGCUUUCCCUUGUGGAUUGCGGGUACUCGAGUGGCGAACGGGUGAGUAACACGUGAGUGAUCUGCCCCCAACUUGGGUAUAAGCCUGGGAAACUGGGUCUAAUUCCCGAUAGGACUGCAGGGUGGUGCCUGUGGUGGAAAACGAUUUUCUAGUGGUUGGGGAUGAGCUCGCGGCCUAUCAGCUUGUUGGUGGGGUAAUGGCCUACCAAGGCGGCGACGGGUAGCCGGCCUGAGAGGGUGGACGGCCACAUUGGGACUGAGAUACGGCCCAGACUCCUACGGGAGGCAGCAGUGGGGAAUAUUGCACAAUGGGCGGAAGCCUGAUGCAGCGACGCCGCGUGGGGGAUGACGGCCUUCGGGUUGUAUACUCCUUUCGACCGCGAGGAAGCCACCUGGUUGGAAGGGUGGUGACGGUAGUGGUAGAAGAAGCACCGGCUAACUACGUG